AAUGCUUCAGGAGUAAUGAAUUUACAUUGCAAAUUUAAUUAAUCUGUUAUGGAUCUAUGGCUACUGAAGUGAUAAGCAUCUGUAAACAUAUAGACCACAGAGGAGAAAGAAUAUUUCUAUAAUAAAUGCACAUUCCCUAGUAUGUGUACUGCUCAAAUCAAGUGAGCUAAUGUAUAUAAAAUCCUUUGAAACAUUAAUGAAUCAUUUCAGUGUCUAUUAUUAUUCAUAGUACUUGGGUUCUCCCCACAUAUCAUCAGGAAGACACCUGGGCUGUGCAGGUGAUGACCUUGACAUAGCCUUCUUGGGCAUGACACAUUCUUCAUCCUGUAAAAUGAUAUUUUAUACAUCAUUGAUAAUGCAAUAUUUUUUUCAUCUUUUGGUAGAUUUAUGGACUGGGCUUACCAUGCUGAAAUUUGAAGGACAUCAGGAGUGGAAUUGACAACAAAUUUCAAUAUGAAUUCUCCUACAUAAGGAAAUAUAUGAAACUUUAAAUUGAUGGAUUUGUCAGUAGUGAAAAUGGUUGAUAGGAUAUUUCCUGAACAGAAGUCAGAAUUCAUAACAAUUCCAGCUGUAGUGAUCUUAUACAAUGAAGUUGUUCCAGAGACAUGAUGGGAAGUCAAGAAAAAAAUAGUACAAGGGGGUUGAAUUUAAAGUUCAAAAAGUAAAAUAUCUUGCCUACUUUGUAUCAACUCUUCUUUAUUGCAUGUAAGAAGAAACUGAUUCAUGUGUACAAAAUAAAAUGGAUUUGCAAUAUAAAGUAAGUCCAAAAUGGACAUAGGCUGAAAGCUUAUUGAUUGAUGUGAGGCUAAUUAAUCAAGACAUUUUUUUUUUCAUUGAGUUUGAAGUCAAUGAAAACUCCUGCCUUUACAUGAAACACCAAUGUUACUAUCAUCAUCUAAUUCAUCUUCUGACUCCAUACUUGGACAAAUAGUUAUUUUACUAAUAUUUCAUGUUUAACAUUCACAUUUAAUACCAAUGAAAUCAGAGUUCUAGUCCCUAUUUCUAUUUAAUGUUGCAAAGACUAUUGCAGAGAUUGAUGAAAUAGUAUAUUUUAAAAAAUAAAAUUGAAUAAAAGUAUUAAGUGUAAUCUCCCUCUUUUGAAGGUUCACUAAAAGCAUCUUCAGGAAAAUUGUGGUAUCAAGAGAUGAUUUGGAGCUCAUCUUGUUUCCAUAUAUUUUUAUGUCAUCUGCUAGUGCUCUAUAUUUUGAAAUGAAAAA
rnacentral:lncRNA from 1 species